UUUUUUCUUUUCUUUUUUUUUUUAGGGCCACAUCUGCAGCAUAUGGAGGUUCCCAGGCUAGGGGUCUAAUCAGAGCUACAGCUGCUGGCCUACACCACAGCUCACAGCAACGCUGGAUCCUUAACCCACUGAGCGAGGCCAGGGAUUGAACCCACAACCUCAUGGUUCCUAGUCGGAUUCGUUUCAUCUGUGCCACGACGGGAACUCCAAACAUGUCACUUGCACUCGAUGCAUGCCAGGACUGAGGAAAGAAUGAUUUGGCCCACUAGGAGAUGGACCUAGCCAAGACUCCACCUAUCACCUCACCUCCAUAAGCCCCACUCUCAUCAGUGGACCAUAUCAGGUCUCCGAGGAUUAGUGUCAGUUCACAGACUAAUUCCAGUAUCAAAUUCCUGGAAGGUAUUGGUGCUUCCCUUCUCCCCCAUCCCACCCCCCAUGCAUAGUAACUCUGGAAAAUGAGUCCCACUGGAAAAGGCAUAAGAAAAGAUUUGAGGUAUAAUGCUGGUUUUCCAGGGUUCUUCCUCAAAGAGCAUGAUCUCUCCUGUCCAGGCACUCUUGUUUAGGAACUUAAGAGGCCAUGAAUCUUACUGUGCCAACUGAAGUUACAUUUUCCCCAUUAAUUUCAUCUCAAGGGUUCCAGAGCUAUUUAGCUACCACCACAGGCCCCUGUGGUCAGACUACUCUGCUAUCACUCUGUGCCUGUGGUUAACUGUGCCAUCUGGAUAUUGUCAUUGCUGAUUACAUGCUACCAUCUGGCUUCCACCUCUCCAGUAUUCCAUUAUUCCUACUGAAGGUAGUGAACCCAGUUCCACUGCUGUAUCCCCCACUGUUUCCAGCCUACAGAGACAGCUACAACUGAGCUUUCCAAGGAUAUGUGUGGCCCCUUACCAAAGCCUCUCUUAGUACAUUGGUACAUGGCUUGACUCUACACUAUUGCAGGAGAGAUGGUUGACGAGUAGUGGAAUAGGUUACACCUCUUAUGUGACUCCAAAUGCCCAUCUUCUUAGGCCUCCAGAGUCUAUGUUCAGUGUGCCAGGAGUUUCCAAUGUUUCAGCCAUGUUCCUUCAGGCCUACCACUGGCCAACAACAGCAUCACUCCCUUGUCCCAAGCUAGCACAUCACUCUGAGGUACACCCGAGAAUGAAUGGGAGCUGGUUGAUUUUUAUAUACAUCUAAGGCACUCAUUGACAGCAUUGGAAUCUGUGCCACCAUCCCUGUCCCAUACUCCCUGGGCUUCUGGCCAUCUGGAUUGAUUGGCAAGGCCAUGUAACUUUCAGGGGGUUUAGGAUCCCCCUUCUGAGAUCCAGCGCUGGACCUCUUGGUCUGGAUAUGGUGGACUGUGACUCACUGUGAGUCCAGUGGUCCUGAGAGGUACAGGUAUGCCCAGGAACAGCCAUUGAGAGGUCUUUGUGCUGGGGAGGCUACUUCCCAAGGCAGGAGUGUACAUCUGGGGAUUCAGAGUUCAGUCUCAUUUGUGUCUGUCUGACUGUCCCUGUACCAUAUGUCAGGGUUUGCCUCUUCCCUAUGCCCUUACCAUGUGUAACUGAUACCAGCAGUGCCGAGCAUUUAAUUGUCAUCACAACUCUGUGGCCCUCUCAGUCAGGGCCCUAGGCGUGGUCUUCCAUCACAUCUGUCCUGCUUCUCAGGAGAUAACAAUACCUUCAAGGCUGUUGUGGAGCCCCCUGACCCUGAACCUGCAUUCUCAGGUAGACAUUCUCCUUGAACUUCCGAACUACUCCUUGUUCCUAGGUACGUUCUCUAGCACAGUGUUUCUCAAACUGUCUGUGGAGAAGGGUCAUUGAAAGAAAUUUCCAAGCCAUUGCAGAUAGAUACUUACAGAAAACAGGGUAAAAGUGAUUUACCAAAAAAGAAAGUAAAAAACAAGACAUAGAAAAUAUUAGAUUUGACAUACAUAAUACUACUUUUCAGUAAAUAUAAUUAGAACAAACAUUGCAUAAGAAAAAUUAAAAUCACAAAAAGUACACAUUUCACCAAAAGCAUAUAUACAGAUGAUUAAUGUAAAGAAUUAUAACUACAUUAGUAACUCUUUGUCAUUUGGCAACUGUAAACAAACAAAAAGGAGUCCAAUAAUUCUCAUUUUUGAAGCUUUUAAUUUUUAUUUUUUGACUACACCUGCAGCACGUGGAAGUUCCCAGGCUAGGGAUUGAACCCAUGCCACAGCAAUGACCCAAGCUACUGCAGUAACAAUGCCAGACCCCCAACCUGCUGUGCCACAAGAGAACUCCUUUGAAGCUUUUAAAUGGACUUACUUCUUGCUUGUUAAUUUAAAAAAUGUAUAUUGAUGGGAGUUCCUGUCAUGGCUCAGUGGUUAACGAAUCCAACUAAGAACCAUGAGGUUGCGGGUUCAAUCCCUGGCUUUGCUCAGGGGGUUAAGGAUCCGGCAUUGCUGUGAGCUGUAGUGUAGGUUGCAGACGUAGCUUGGAUCCCGUGUUGCUGUGGCUGUGGUGUAGGCCGGUGGCUACAGCUCCAAUUAGACCCCUAGCCUGGGAACCUCCAUAUGCCAUGGAAGCUGCCCAAGAAAUGGCAAAAAGACAAAAAAAUAAAAUAAAAUAAAAAAUGUAUAUUGAAAUAUGGUUGAUUUACAAUAUAUCAGUCUCAGGUGUACAGCAAAGUGAUUCAGUUAUACGUAUAUAAAUAUAUAUAUAUAUUUCUUUUUGCAUUCUCUUUCACUAUAGAUUAUUAUAAGAUAUUGAGUAUAGUUCCUUGUGCUAUAGUUCCCUGCUACACAGGGAUACAGUAGUAUCCCUGUGCUACACUAUUAACUGUAUAGUUAUGGUUAACUAUAAUAACUAUAUUAUAGUUAAUUUGUAAUAUUAACAUAUUACAAAUGUUAAUAUGAGAGAAACUAAUGCAGUGAUUUUAAAGUGAACAAGCUCAUGAUAUGCAUUUUAAACUUUUGUCUUUGUUGGAUAUCUAUUUUAUAUGUAGCAGUGUUAAUUCUAACCUCCUACUUUAUCUCUCUCCCCUUUCCCCUUUGGUAAACAUACAUUUGUUUUCUCUGUCUGUAAGUCUAUUUUUGUUUUGUAAAUAAGUCCAUGUGUAUCAUUUUUUAAGAUUCCACAUAUAAGCAAUGUCAUAUGAUAUUUGUCUCUGCCUGGCUUACUUCACUUAGUAUAGUAAUCUCUAGGUCCAUCCAUGUUGCUACAAAUAGCAUUAUUUCAUUUUUAUGGCUGAAUAAUAUUCCAUUGUACUGCAUUCCAUGUACCAUAUUUUCUUUAUCCAUUCAUCUGUCAAUGGACAUUUAGGUUGCUUCCAUGUCUUGGCUGUUGGGAAUAGUGCUACAGUGACCACUAUGGUGAAUAUAUUUUCUUUUUUUUUUUUUUUUGCUUUUUAGGGCCACACCCAUGGCAUAUGGAGGGUCCCAGGCUAGGGGUCCAAUCAGAGCUACAACUGCCAUUCUAGUUCUGUGAAAAAUGUCAUUGGUAAUUUUAUAGGAAUUGCAGUGAAUCUGUAGAUUGCCUUGGGUAGUACAGUCAUUUUGACAAUAUUGAUUCUUUCAAUCCAAGAACACAGUGUAUUUUUCCAUUUGUUUGUGUGAUCUUUGAUUUCUUUAUCAGCGUCUUAUGGUUUUCAGAGUACAGGUCUUUUGCCUUCUUAGGUAGAUUUAUUCCUAGAUAUUUUACUCUUUUGGAUGUGAUAGUAAAUGGGAUUGUUCUUUAAUUUAUCUUUCUGACCUUUUGUUGUUAAUGUAUAGAAAUAUAAGAGAUUUCUGUGUAUUAAUUGUGUAUCCUGCAACUUUACUGAAUUCAUUUAAGAGCUCUAGUAGUUUUCAGAUAGCAACUUCAGGAUUUUUCUAUGCGUAGUAUUAUGUCAUCUGCAAACAGUGACAAUUUUACUUCUUUUCCAAUUUGGAUUCCUCUUUUUUCUUUUUUCUUUCUUUCUUUUUUUUUUUCUUCUCUGAUUGCUUUGUCUAGGACUAUGUUGAAUAAAAGUGGUGAGAGUGGACAUCCUUGUCUUGUUUCUGAUCUUUGAAGAAAUGCUUUCAGCUUUUCACCAUUGAGUAUGAUGUUAGCUGUGGCUUGCUUGUUAUCUGAUAGAGUGAAUUGAGACAGUGCUACUUGCAAGGAAUUUUAUAUAUAUAUGCUUUUUCUGUUCUUUGCUUUUGUAAUUUUAAUAGAGAAACCAAGGGAAUCUCAUGCAGAGGUACGUUAAUGAGAACAUAUUAACAUGAGAAAUGUUAAUAUGAGAGAAACGAAUGCAGUGAUUUUAAAGUGAACAAGCUCAUGAUGUACAUUUUAAACUUUUGUCUAAAAUAGAGCAAUUCAUGUCAUAUUUUAAAAAUUCAUCUCCAGUUCUUCAUUACUAACAGUCACAACAAUUAUUCUAUAAGUUAUAGUUAAAUUAUCUUUCAAAGAAAGAAAUGGAUUCCACAUUUAAAAUACUUUGGGUUGUAGAAAAGACUAACCCUAAAACCCCACAAGUGAUAACUCAAUCCUGCUGCACACAUUAAGGGCACACCUGCCCCACAGGUGACUCACUGUGAGUCUUUGAUAACGCCCCAACAGGUCUAUGCCCUGUGCAGUAAGAACAUUGGUCAUGCUCUUGGAGGUUGAAGCUUGAUCAGAAUUCUGUAAAGAUUUCCAAACACAUUCAGUUUCUUAAUUUAUCUCAUUUGUGACCAGCAACAAGCAGUCAAUGGAUAGCACCAGUCUGUGACAGGAGCCAAACUUUGACACAUGUUGCUCUUGGGUCAUUACUGUUCCCUGGGCCAUGGUUGCUAAGCAAUUGAGUAUCACAGCCACUUGAUGCUCCAGUGCCUUGCCCUCUACCUGCACUUAUCUCAUGCUACCAGCAGCCAUCAUCUGGGGACUCAUGAUGCUACUGCAUGCCUGAUAGCCUACAUCCUCUUUCCCCCUGGCAAGGAGGUAUGAUCUGUGUUCCUUAAAUAUGUAAAAAACUGGAUCCCAGAGACCAUUUCGAAAAUGUUUUCUGAGACACAUCCUCAAAGGGUAAGUUGAGGAGACUUUAACAAAGGACUUCGUCAAGGCGUCAGGAGGGUGUGGGGAAGCCAUGAGGGAGAGUGCAGCGCCCUGGGCUGGUAACAGCGAGGUUCCACCACCACCCCCUGAUGCAGGGGCAGGAGCAGUGCUCAUUAUCAGAAACUCAAGGAGGGGGCUAUGUGGAGGGUCUGCCAGCCAGGAACUGUGACCUCGGACAAAGGAACACAGCCAGCCCCGGGGAAGAAAUAUGUUGAUCUGCACUCCCUGCUGAGGAAAGCAUGUGGGUUUAUGGUUUACCCAGAGGGCAGGCUCCUGGGGCAACAAGCAGGGUGCAGAGUGGCUCUGCAGAACAAACUGAAGUCCCUGGCACUUAUUUCUUACACUUCUGAGUUCUCUUCUGGAGAUUUGGGUCUCCUCCAAGUUGUUUCUGAGCCUGGCAAGUGUUUACAUCAUGCCUGUGGUGUCAUUCUUUUGUGUGCUCCCUGUGUCCUGAAAAACUCAAGCCAGAGUCGUGUGUGCACAUGAUUUAAAAACCAUGUGGAGCAAAACAUAUCUGUAAUUGAAUAUUGGUGCAUUUCACACAAUACCUCAACAUUUAAAAAUACCAAUCAGGUGUUCCCGUUGUCACUGAGUGGGUUAAGAACCCAACUAGUAUCUGUGAGGAUGUGGGUUUGAUCCCUGGCCUUGCUUGGUGGAUUAAGGACCGGAUGUUGCUGUAAGCUGUGGCAUAGGCUGCAGAUGUGCCUCGAAUCUGGAAAUGGCAUUGCUGUGGCUGUGGUAUAGGCUGGCAGCUGCAGCUUUGAGUCAACCUCUAGCCUGAGAACUUCCGUAUGCUGCAGGUGCAACCCUAAAAAAAUAAUAAUAAAAAAUAAAAAUACCAAUCAAACUAGGUUCACCCCCAGCUAUCCAUUGUCCAAGGGAGAAACUCAUAGCAAUUUAGCCACUCAUUUCUGUGGGACCUCAAAGCCUCUCCAAGGAGGUAAAACUCAAAAAGCCUCUGGCCCAGAUAAGAAUUACCAGACUCUUAUCAUCCCACCUGUCUCAUUGUAAUUGUUAGAGUGUUCUUAAGGACCUCCCCACCUCCAGCAACUUGGCCUCCUUUCUUUCCUGCCCUCUGCUAGGAAAGGCAUGUGGCCCACUCCUUACCCUGCACCUAUAGGGGCAAUAAAUGCCCCCAGCCAACCAGUAAGUGCAGCAGAAGACCCCAUCUUUCCCCAACCAGUCAGCAUGUCAGCAGGUGUAUGGGAAGACCUCUCCUCUCUCUGCUUUGUUGCUGGGCUAUAAAAACAGACAAGACCGUACACCCAGGGUCAGCUUUCCCUGAUUAUCAGGAAAUCUGCUGUGUUAACAGUGUCUCUUGCCUCAGUAAAGUCGUCUUUUCUUCACCUUUCUUUGAAUCUGGAAAAUUAUUUUUCCACCCAUGUGCAGAGAUCACAAUUUCCAGGGGAUAAGCCUACAUCUUGCAACCUUCCUAGGGUGCAAGUCCCUGCUCCCAUCAUGGAAGCCCUCCCCUCAUCACCGCUACCACCCCCAGGCACUAGAUCUGAUACAGACACCAACAAGACCCAAGCUGGCUUAGGGUCCUGAGUGGCGAGGGCCAUGCUUGCCCACCUGUGGGCGCUGCAAGGCAGAGCCAUGCUGACUGCAGGGGUGCAGCGACAAGGCAGGGCGCUGCUGGAACAGCUCUCUGAGGCUAAAGACCUUUGCCAUUUCUCUGACACUAGCUCUGUUUUACGUUUUCAGACACAAAGAGGUGGCCACAGACUCAGAGAACAUGGUAGGUGGUGGUGGGACAUGUUAUUAGAAUGUGGUAACAGUUUGGCUUUCUUUGAACUUAUUUUCAUGGUUACCUUCUAUUUAUGGAAAAUGAAUCUAGUUUUAUAUUUAACUUAGUGAUCUAAUAUUGCAUUUUGAAAUAAGUUUAUUUAAAUUAAAACAAGGAUUUAUUUUUUAAUGAUUUUUAUUUUUUCCAUUAUAGCUGGAUUACAGUGUUCUGUCAGUUUGCUGCUCUACAGCAAAGUGACCCAGUCUCUCUCUCUCUCUCUCUCUCUCACACACACACACACACACACACACACACACAUUCUUUUUCUCACAUUAUCCUCCAUCAUGCUUCAUUAUAAGUGACUGGAUAUAGUUCCCAGUGCUAUACAGCAGGAUCUCAUUGUUUAUCCAUUCCAAAGGCAAUAGUUUGCAUCUAUUAACCCCAGAUUCCCAGUCCAUCCCACUCCCUCCUCCUCCCCCUUGGCAUCUACAAGUCUGUUCUCCAAGUCCAUGAGUUUCUUGUCUGUGGAAAGGUUCAUUUGUGCCAUAUAUUAGAUUCUAGAUAUAAGUGAUAUCAUAUGGUAUUUGUCUUUCUCUUUCUUAUUUACUUCACUUAGUAUGGGAAUCUCUAGUUCCAUCCAUGUUGCUACAGAUGGCAUUAUAUAUUUUGUUUUUUUCAUGGCUGAGUAGUAUUCCAGUGUGUAUAUAUACCACAUCUUCUUAAUCCAUUCAUCUGUUGAUGGACAUUUAGGUUGUUUCCAUGUCUUGGCUCUUGUGAGUAGUGCUGCUAUGAACAC
rnacentral:lncRNA from 1 species